AUUGGCAUUAUUCAGUUAUCGUCUGAAUCUCGAUGCUUAUUCAGUUAUUUGGUUUGACAAAAUGUCACAACUGCCUGCUUGCAUCAGAUAUUGAAAUUGCGGAGAAGAUUUAGUUAUUGAAAAGGCCCGAGUAGAGGGAUAGUGGGAGAAGCACCAUGUUCUGAGGACGAUUGCUUGGGCUGCUUGAUGAAUCAUUUCGAGCAUGAUCUGCCGAUUGAAUUGGGCUACUUCCUUUUGGAAAAUGAUGCGAUCUCGGAUUGGGCUUUUAUUGGGUCUAGAAUUGAAUAAGAUGAUGAGAUUGAGAGUGGUGGGAUCUCAAGACUUGGAAUUACAUCAAUGCCCUUGUAUGCAAAGACCGAAUUUAUCAUUUAUAGUUGCAACUUCCAAAUUAGUAAAAUAUUGUUUAAAAACUUUAUUAUAG
rnacentral:sRNA from 1 species